AAGAUAAACGGAGGUCUCACGGGUUUGGAACGACAUGAGGGUCAUAAUUUUAAUAUUUGGGUGAACUAACCCUUUAAGGCUGCUCGUAGUAUGCAAUGUACUUCAACACCAACACUUUAAGAAUAUCAAAGGCAAAAGGCAAGUUUAACGCAAACUCAACAGCGUUUUUGUGUGCUUUUGUGAUAUGAAGACUGUACUGUUCAUUGCAGUAUAUGUACAGAGAGAAAUGCAUGUUAUCUCAAUGGCUGAUAGGACUGAUAGUUCAUCACUAAAGGCCUUUUUAUGGCCAGGGAAAGCCAUGCGAAUGUUUUGUAAGAGGACCUUCUUUAGAUAUGGGGAUCUCUAAUUCAUUACAUUACAUCUGUUUUCCUUCAGUCAGACAUACACUGCAAAUGUAUCUCCAUUCUGUCUAUUCAUAUUUAUGCACUUCCUCCUGAAGUAAAAUUUAGGUAACUGGUGAUGGUAUGUAAUUGUAGAUUAUUAUGUAUUAUUAAUGGUUUUUGUUUACUUAAUUAUAGACAUAUAAUGAUGAAGUAAGAGUGUUAUGUCUCCAAAGACAUAUAGAAAUGGUUUGACUGAUAAGUUAUUAAUAAUCAUUUAUAUUAACCAUAAUAUCUUAAGGUUAAUAAAUCACUUUAUACUUAUACAAAUAUUGAAUGAUCAGGGAAGGAACUGGAAUCUAUGCAAAGAUCGAGUGUUAUAAGAGAGAGUGUAUCUGUGAUAGCCCAUUCUGUGAAUAUUAGCACUGAUUAACUAAAAAGCAUUAAUAUUUAUUGUUUUGAGCAUUUCUUAUUAAGGCUUUCUAGACAUUUUGCAUGUAAAUACAGACUGACGGAUACUGUGCGUCUUGUAUUUAUUCCCAUUCUAAUUUUGCUUGCAUAUUCAAGCAAGAAAAUAAGUUUAAAACGUAUUAUAAUCACAAUUCAUCAAAUUAAGGUUGCUCAUUUGGCACAAACAACCAUGUAAAAAAACGAGUGUACAUAUUUUACAUGUUUGAUAUCUCUGUGGAGGCAAACCUACAGUUUUGGAUUCAGAGUUUCAGAUUGAGGGUGACAUUUUAUUUUUUACAUGAUGCCCUGAUCAGCAUCUAUUAUUCAAGACCUUCUGUUCAUCUAAACAGUGAUUAAUGUGAAUUGCUAAUUAAAAAUUGGGUUUAUUUUCCUGUAUUUUGCUGAAAGGAUUGAUUCAAAGUCUCUGUACAUAUGAGUUAAGAUACUAAACGCCCUGGUCUGCAUUACAGUUCGUACCACACAUUAUGUUUGGCUUUAUUUUGUGUAUAUAAUCCUUCAAAAGCUUUGUAUUUAUAUGGUCAAGAGGGACAAAUCAUGUAUAGACUGAAAUUAAUUGUCUGCCUUGUACUUUCUGAUGUAAAUGUGUUUUUAAAAUUAAACUGCGAACAUGAAAAAAAAAUCUUUCAAUGGCCUAAUCACUGCAGUUAUUUUGUGUAUUUUGCAUUGAAAUCUGAAGGGCGUUUUGUUUUACCAUGCAGAACUAUGAAAACCUUUGUACAAGUAUUCUCAAAGUAUUUUUUCUGUAUAUAUUGUGCUAGCAUGAAUAAAUGUGAUGUGGAUUUUAGAUGUAAAUACACAUUUUUUUCCUACUCACUUAACCGCUGUGACGUGUAAUUCAUUAAUAAUGCUUAAUAUUAAAGAUAAUGUUUUAUCGACUGA